rnacentral:rRNA from 1 species
UACGUAGGGGGCGAGCGUUGUUCGGAUUUACUGGGCGUAAAGGGCGCGUAGGCGGCCCUCCUUGUCGCGUGUGAAAGCCCCGGGCUCAACCUGGGAACGGCGCGCGAAACGGGAGGGCUGGAGUUCGGGAGAGGAGAGUGGAAUUCCCAGUGUAGAGGUGAAAUUCGUAGAUAUUGGGAAGAACACCGGUGGCGAAGGCGGCUCUCUGGACCGAGACUGACGCUGAGGCGCGAAAGCGUGGGGAGCAAACAGG